UACGAGAGGCCCAAGCGUUAUUCGGAUUUACUGGGCUUAAAGAGUUCGUAGGCGGCUUGGAAAGUGGGGUGUGAAAGCCCUCGGCUCAACCGAGGAAUUGCGCUCCAAACUACCGAGCUUGAGUAGGCUAGAGGUGAGCAGAACUGAUGGUGGAGCGGUGAAAUGCGUUGAUAUCAUCAGGAAUACCGGAGGCGAAGGCGGCUCGCUGGGCCACACCUGACGCUGAGACGCGAAAGCUAGGGGAGCGAACAGG
rnacentral:rRNA from 1 species